rnacentral:rRNA from 1 species
GAUCCUGGCUCAGGAUGAACGCUAGCGACAGGCUUAACACAUGCAAGUCGAGGGGCAGCGAGGGAGUGGCAACACUUCCGUCGGCGACCGGCGCACGGGUGAGUAACGCGUAUGCAACCUGCCCUUCACAGGGGGGAUAACCGGGAGAAAUUCCGACUAAUACCGCAUACGUCCUCCGGGGGCAUCCCCGGGGGAUGAAAGAAUUAUCGGUGAAGGAUGGGCAUGCGUGAUAUUAGGUAGUUGGCGGGGCAACGG